UCUUCCAUAAUUCCCAAACCUAAACCCAAUUACCCCCGUCUCUCACAUACGCUCUCCCCUCACCCAGUCACCCGCCACAAUUCGCUGUACUUCGGCCUCAACUUGGAGCCGCCGCCCCUCCCUCCGGUCUGCGAUGCGCCACACACCGGCCUCAAGCCGGCGCCGUCGUCUCUCCCUCCAGUACGGCCGAUCUGUGAUGCGCCGCACUCCAGCCCUCGCCAGCUCGCUCCGACCUGUCUCUUUCGAUUGACAACAGCAGUGCGUGACUACGCCGCCCUCACCUAGCCUUUCUGCGCCAUGCCUUCUUCGGCCUCGAUGCCUCCGUCCGGCGACGAUAUAAUACAUGGCAUUCAGAGGAGCUCAUCAAAUACGGAUUUCCUGAAGAUAUUUGUGAAUGAAUCAGCUCAAGAACAUGUGUCGUCUACUGAGAAACAUAUUCAAGAGGGUGGCGCUAUUACUGAAAAUGAUAAAAGCCACAGAGACAGGGAUGUGAAUAGUUAACUACUGGAUCAGAAUAAAAUGAUUCACAUCUGCGGCAAACUAAUUGGGGUCUUUAUGGUUUAUAAGCCUGCACCAACUGAUUGAAGAAGAUUAUUAAUUUUUAGCAAGGAAUGGAACAAUAUUCGACCCCACUUCUACACGAGAUGUCAGGACCGAGCAGAUAGUGAGAGUGAUCCCGGAAUGAAGCAUAAGCUACUUCGGCUUGCAAGGAAGCUGAAAGAGAUGGACCUAACCGGUAAGAAUGGAAUUUUGACAAUGGACCUAACCUGUAAGAUGGACCAAACACGAUCACUUUGUGAAGCUUGAGGCUUGAGGAGAAUUCUAAGGAAAUUUGUGUUUUUAGGGAAAUGAAGGAGAAAAUGAAGACGAGGAACCAGAAGAGGAAUAAAAUGUAGAAGAAGAAGAAGAAGAACUCAACGGCGGUGAUUAUGAGCAGGUAUACUAUAUGUAUACAGACGACCUCCUUGUGGACAUAUAAAUGGUGGAAACAAGUAAAUGGAGUUUUUGUUACGCACUUCAUUUCUUGCUCAUCUAAAAUAUGUCAGCUCAUUGAUUUGUCUUGCUUCUCUGCAGCUGCUUAGCUAAUGUGGUUCGAUUAAAAGAUUAUAUAUGCCCGGCCACUUGUUGCCCACAUCUUAGUAAAGGCCACAAGCUAGAAUGUAAUUUACUUGAACAUAUCAAUUUGUCCGAGUCCAUCAUACAAAAUUCAAUAACUCAUUAACUCAUGUUUGUACUUUAGUAUAUAUUGUUAUACUAUUGACCAUUCCUUCUA